rnacentral:rRNA from 1 species
UACGUAGGGUGCGAGCGUUGUCCGGAAUUAUUGGGCGUAAAGGGCUCGUAGGCGGUUUGUCGCGUCGGGAGUGAAAUCCACUGGCUUAACUGGUGGCUUGCUUUCGAUACGGGCAGACUGGAGGUAUGCAGGGGAGAACGGAAUUCCUGGUGUAGCGGUGAAAUGCGCAGAUAUCAGGAGGAACACCGGUGGCGAAGGCGGUUCUCUAGUACGGUACUGACGCUGAGACGCGAAAGCGUGGGGAGCGAACAGG